GUUUGAUCAUGGCUCAGAUUAAACGCUGGCGGCAGGCCUAACACAUGCAAGUCGAACGGUAACAGGAAGAAGCUUGCUUCUUUGCUGACGAGUGGCGGACGGGUGAGUAAUGUCUGGGAAACUGCCUGAUGGAGGGGGAUAACUACUGGAAACGGUAGCUAAUACCGCAUAACGUCGCAAGACCAAAGAGGGGGACCUUCGGGCCUCUUGCCAUCGGAUGCGCCCAGAUGGGAUUAGCUAGUAGGUGGGGUAACGGCUCACCUAGGCGACGAUCCCUAGCUGGUCUGAGAGGAUGACCAGCCACACUGGAACUGAGACACGGUCCAGACUCCUACGGGAGGCAGCAGUGGGGAAUAUUGCACAAUGGGCGCAAGCCUGACGCAGCCAUGCCGCGUGUAUGAAGAAGGCCUUCGGGUUGUAAAGUACUUUCAGCGGGGAGGAAGGGAGUAAAGUUAAUACCUUUGCUCAUUGACGUUACCCGCAGAAGAAGCACCGGCUAACUCCGUGCCAGCAGCCGCGGUAAUACGGAGGGUGCAAGCGUUAAUCGGAAUUACUGGGCGUAAAGCGCACGCAGGCGGUUUGUUAAGUCAGAUGUGAAAUCCCCGGGCUCAACCUGGGAACUGCAUCUGAUACUGGCAAGCUUGAGUCUCGUAGAGGGGGGUAGAAUUCCGGUGUAGCGGUGAAAUGCGUAGAGAUCUGGAGGAAUACCGGUGGCGAAGGCGGCCCCCUGGACGAAGACUGACGCUCAGGUGCGAAAGCGUGGGGAGCAAACAGGAUUAGAUACCCUGGUAGUCCACGCCGUAAACGAUGUCGACUUGGAGGUUGUGCCCUUGAGGCGUGGCUUCCGGAGCUAACGCGUUAAGUCGACCGCCUGGGGAGUACGGCCGCAAGGUUAAAACUCAAAUGAAUUGACGGGGGCCCGCACGAGCGGUGGAGCAUGUGGUUUAAUUCGAUGCAACGCGAAGAACCUUACCUGGUCUUGACAUCCACGGAAGUUUUCAGAGAUGAGAAUGUGCCUUCGGGAACCGUGAGACAGGUGCUGCAUGGCUGUCGUCAGCUCGUGUUGUGAAAUGUUGGGUUAAGUCCCGCAACGAGCGCAACCCUUAUCCUUUGUUGCCAGCGGUCCGGCCGGGAACUCAAAGGAGACUGCCAGUGAUAAACUGGAGGAAGGUGGGGAUGACGUCAAGUCAUCAUGGCCCUUACGACCAGGGCUACACACGUGCUACAAUGGCGCAUACAAAGAGAAGCGACCUCGCAAGAGCAAGCGGACCUCAUAAAGUGCGUCGUAGUCCGGAUUGGAGUCUGCAACUCGACUCCAUGAAGUCGGAAUCGCUAGUAAUCGUGGAUCAGAAUGCCACGGUGAAUACGUUCCCGGGCCUUGUACACACCGCCCGUCACACCAUGGGAGUGGGUUGCAAAAGAAGUAGGUAGCUUAACCUUCGGGAGGGCGCUUACCACUUUGUGAUUCAUGACUGGGGUGAAGUCGUAACAAGGUAACCGUAGGGGAUCCUGCGGUUG
rnacentral:rRNA from 1 species